rnacentral:lncRNA from 1 species
CUAUGAGAAGUAUUACAACUGCCAGCUGCCAGUAAUUCAAGGUGCUCAUGGGGUCCGACCCCAUGGUGAGUCACCAUGACCUCACGGCCUUGCAGGCACACUGCGGAGCUGCGCAUCAGAAGCACAUGCGCACUGGCAGUACUUCUUAUGAGUUGAUCUGAGUAGCAUUGAUGAAAUACACAUAAGGAGCUCGAAGGUCUUGAAACUACAGGCAUUGGCAUUAGGAAGUCCCACAGCAAUCUUGAUCGGCAAGCUAAUGGAAGCGUUCACACUCGAUGCAAAUUCAUUCAAGCGAAUCAAUGAUAGUGCGAUGAAAAUGUGUCACACGGCACUUGCCACACCACAAGUGAUGCAGGAGCAUUGGCAACCUCCUUAAGGAUCCCAGUCACACUAGACAGCAGUUGCACUCACAUCUCCAAGUACGAGGACUUCCGCAUCACUCACAAGGUCACUGACAAUCAGUGACUGGCGGUAUGUGUUCCUGUUGAGAAUGCGCCUAGAACGAGCUGGGUUGCAGACGAUGGCACUUCAUUUCUCAAGAGUCUCAUGAUGCCCUGACAGCAAGUAGACCUUCCUGCAUGUCCCGGUAACUUCCUGCAAGAGCAGAGAGUAGCUGAGUUGACUGCACUGAAGCAACAUCGCUUCCUGAUCAGCUUGCACACUGGAAGAGGAGAAAUAUGCCCACCUUCAAAAGCGCAGGACCUGCGAGGGUGUUUGCUGGCUCGCCUCUGUUGUAAACUAUCACCUGCUGAGCGUUUCCAUCCAGCAGCCCCGCCUGCAGCCUGCAGCACGGAUCAAAAAUCCAGUGAGGCAGAAGAUUUCAAUAUGCAAAUUGAUGUGGCACACUCAUGCUGUCGUUUCCAUACAAUAAUACGAUUAGCGUUGGUUCAAGGUGUUGUGGACCGCACCAGCUUCCUCACAGAGCUCUCAAACUCGCGCACUAGGAUGCUGGUGCUCUCUGUCAUGAUCACUGUACGGAAGAUGCCAAAAUCUGAGUCAGUCAAAUAUACAUGUACGCAAAUUGAUGGGAGACAAGCCCUCAAAGCCCUUGCUGCAAGGCUCCCCUUGGGAACAGAACCUAGCCAGAAUGGCUGCAAAUCAAGGCGUCACCUUGAUUGGAAGGCGCAUCUGUACGACUGUGUGUCGCUUGAUACGUCUUCAUUCGUGGCCAAUCGUCCUGCACAUCAGUGGAUUUUUUUUAGCAUGCUCACUUCUUACUCGCUGAUCCGCCCUUUUGGCCAAAGAUGAAAAACCGUAAUUUCGUGCGAGAGGAUAGAAAAUAAGAGUCACCUUAGAUGUGCUUGCAGGCCCGCAUGAAGAGAAAUUGCUCCUAUCACGGGUAGGGAGGUUGAACAGCGAGUCCAUAUUACAGAGUCUGCAAGGUGGGUUUCUGCGUGUAGCGCCCUGGACUCUCACGGAUGUCUUGAAUUCUCCUCGACUUUGAUCUCUCGGCUGUAUCGAUUAUUGUUCAGCUCUAACCAUUCUCGGCGCACGCGCACGAU